rnacentral:rRNA from 1 species
CCUACGGGAGGCAGCAGUGGGGAAUCUUGCGCAAUGGGCGAAAGCCUGACGCAGCAACGCCGCGUGCGGGAAGAAGGCUUUCGGGCUGUAAACCGCUUUCAGCAGGAACGAAAAUGACGGUACCUGCAGAAGAAGGAGCGGCCAACUAUGUGCCAGCAGCCGCGGUGAUACAUAGGCUUCAAGCGUUGUCCGGAUUUAUUGGGCGUAAAGAGUUCGUAGGCGGUCGAGUAAGUCGGGUGUGAAAAUUCUGGGCUCAACCCAGAGACGCCACCCGAUACUGCUUAACUUGAGUUCGAUAGGGGAGUGGGGAAUUCCUAGUGUAGCGGUGAAAUGCGCAGAUAUUAGGAGGAACACCGGUGGCGAAGGCGCCACUCUGGAUCGAUACUGACGCUGAGGAACGAAAGCAUGGGUAGCAAACAGGAUUAGAUACCCUGGUAGUCCAUGCCGUAAACGGUGGGCACUAGGUGUGGGAUUCUAUUAACGAAUUCCGCGCCGUCGCUAACGCAUUAAGUGCCCCGCCUGGGGAGUACGGUCGCAAGCUAAAACUCAAAGUGAUGACGNGNGAGAGNGACCGAGCACACGAGGUAG